rnacentral:lncRNA from 1 species
CGUCGUUGAAGCUGAUGCUGUUUAUGUCAAGCCUUUUGAAGCUGACACGCUCCUCAUCAGUCCAGGCCAAACUACAAAUGUUCUACUCAAAACCAAGCCACAUCUCCCUAAUGCAACCUUUUACAUGUUUGCCGGGCCUUAUUUCUCAGGCAUGGGAAGCUUUGACAACUCUACCACUGCUGGUGUCCUGGUUUAUAAACAUCCAUCUAGUAAUAAUCACUUGAAAAAGCUUCCUACACUCAAGCCAACUCUGCCACCAAUCAAUGCUACUGGCUUUGUUGCGAAUUUCACCAAGAAAUUCCGUAGCUUAGCCAACGCUAAAUUUCCAGCUAAUGUGCCACAAACAGUGGACAGGAAAUUCUUCUUCACUGUGGGACUUGGGACUAACCCGUGCCCUAAAAAUACAACCUGUCAGGGACCAAAUAAUAAUACGAAAUUUGCUGCUUCGAUUAACAAUGUGUCAUUUGUAUUACCCUCUGUAGCUCUUCUGCAAUCCUACUUCUUUGGACAGUCAAAUGGUGUCUUCACCUCCGAUUUUCCUCAGAACCCAACAAUAC